rnacentral:rRNA from 1 species
AGAAUCAACGCUGGCGGCGUGCCUAACACAUGCAAGUCGCACGAGAAAGGGACUUCGGUCCUGAGUACAGUGGCGUACGGGUGAGUAACACGUGAAUAAUCUACCUCCGAGUGGGGAAUAACUGAGAGAAAUCUUAGCUAAUACCGCAUAACACUUACGAGUCAAAGCAGCAAUGCGCUUGGAGAGGAGUUCGCGGCAGAUUAGUUAGUUGGCGGGGUAAUGGCCCACAAGACGAUGAUCUGUA